CCUACGGGAGGCAGCAGUGGGGAAUAUUGGGCAAUGGGCGCAAGCCUGACCCAGCAACGCCGCGUGAAGGAAGAAGGCUUUCGGGUUGUAAACUUCUUUUCUCAGGGACGAAGCAAGUGACGGUACCUGAGGAAUAAGCCACGGCUAACUACGUGCCAGCAGCCGUGGUAAUACGUAGGUGGCAAGUGUUAUCCGGAUUUACUGGGUGUAAAGGAAGUGUAGGCGGGAAAGCAAGUCAGAUGUGAAAACCUUGGGCUCAACCUGGGGCCUGCAUUUGAAACUGUUUUUCUUGAGUACUGGAGAGGCAGGCGGAAUUCCUAGUGUAGCGGUGAAAUGCGUAGAUAUUAGGAGGAACACCAGUGGCGAAGGCGGUCUACUGGACAGCAACUGACGCUGAGGCGCGAAAGCGUGGGGAGCAAACAGGAUUAGAUACCCCAGUAGUC
rnacentral:rRNA from 1 species